AUUCCUAUUUCCAUGCACAUCGUUGUGCCCGCCUCAUCUGCGUGUGAUCGUCUGUGGUCAUUUAGACGCGCUUUGCACAGGCAUCCGCAGCAAAACGUGAGACGAAUGGAGCAAGAGAUGGCCACCUUGUAGGCAUUCGGCGGGAAGAUAUCCUAAGAACUAUCCGCUACGCAGCUACGAGGUGCGUCUUUUCUUCUCGACGGUAGAGUAUGGACGGCAGAAAAUAUUCGUCUUUGACAUCUUUACCUCCUGGGCGGAAAGUCCCACAAACCGGACGAGUCUGGGGGGCAAGUGGCCGGCGCGACCGCCCUAACCAGUGCAGCUAUAACGUUAAUGACACGGGCGGUUCGGACGCAACUUUCCGUGGACGACGCGAGGGGCGCCUCAUCGCCCAGGCUACGUCCUGGUCGCUGUUGCUCUUGAACGCGUCGUUCCACGCUGGUGGCGCUCAGACUGUCCGAGUCUGGAGGGACUACGAGCCCCAGUUCCGUGUCGGGUUUACAACGCUUGGAGCGGGCGCUUGCAAACAAGCCGCGGAACCUUGCUGGCUUUCAGCGGCACCCGCAGCGGUGGCAUACCGAAACGUUGCAGCGAGCGUCUUGGAGAUGCGCCGUACCCAGCAAGUCUACAGUUCGAUCUAGCUUGUGCUGUUUUCAGGGACAUGCUGUCCUAUGGAGUGCCGUACGCUGCACUGUAUGCGGAACAACCGAGGCCUCUAUCUUCUGUAACAUCGAAUCAUGCAACGCGAUGAUCGCUCAGCAUUUGCCCGAGCGGAUCAUCCUCGGAGCACGUCCAUAGCGCUCUGGCCUUGAUGGAUUGCUGACUCGUACCACGCGAGUGGCUUGUUCCAGGCGAGAAUCCAAUACCCCUUCUGCAGGCCAUUCAUCGUUAUUCAUCGCAAGCCGUCAGUUUUCCAGCGCAAUGCGCAUGCAGUAAGUACGAAACGAUUCCAUACAAAAUCCACGCGACAUAGCCGCCGAGCGCUUUGAAAGCAAGCGACUUUUCCGAAUGUUCAUCCGGGUAUGUAACGCUCGAUGCCGCAGGUGUUUGCUCGCAUUGCUGCUGGUGCGAUUACGCUGUCAUAAGCCUCUGACGUUCAAUUCCAUUGCCAUCUGACGUUCGUUCAGCUUACCGAACACCAUCUCGCGUUUCCAUCUCCAGUUUAUUCCUUUCAUCUCUAACUGGUCCAACGCCCGCCCGCACUCGUGAUGCGUUUAUGUCGUCCUGAGCAAGUCGAUGGGAAUCGAGCAGCACCUAUACCUGUUUUCGUUGCACGUGCUCGUCUCUCCCGCAAGAAGCGUUCGCGUUUGUGAACAAAAUGAACAGCAAAGGGCACAGAGAGCUCGAGUUCGAGCACUCCAUGCACUGAUGCGUUUCAUCAGAGGUAAGAAACGCAUGGAGUUCGUGAACCGAGACUUUAACGCUGCUAUCAAUAGCAGACGAUUUGCAGUGCUGAAGACGAAACCCGAGGACUGACGCGAACUAACUUGGUGGAGCAACCUCUCAGCUUCGAAGUGGACAAGGAGAAGCUGAGGUCGAUAGCAGGAUGCCGGUCAAAAAAAACCUGGGACGCGUCUCUAAGUGGAUAGAUAUAUUUGUACCCUGCACGGCCGUGGGACAGUUUCUGGUUCACUGCAUGCAAAAAUGUGCAGCAGCGUCUGGACAUUUCGAAGCCAUCACUAAAUCGCACGCCGAGAUUCACAACGCUGACUUUUAGCUCCGCUGCACGUCCUUGACGUAGGACCCUAAACCGGAACGC